rnacentral:misc_RNA from 1 species
GAUGAAGAACGUAGCAAAAUGAGAUACUUGGUGUGAAUUGCAGAAUCCCGUGAACCAUCGAGUCUUUGAACGCAAGUUGCGCCCGAAGCCAUUAGGCCGAGGGCACGCCUGCCUGGGCGUCACACGUCGUUGCCCCCCCCCAUCUACUCCUUCGGGAUUGCGGGGGGCGGAUGAUGGCCUCCCGUGCGCCUCGCCGCGCGGUUGGCAUAAAUGCCAAGUCCUCGGCGACGCACGCCACGACAAUCGGUGGUUGCGAAACCUCGGUUGCCCGUCGUGUGCGGUCGUCGCGCAUCGAGGGCUCGAAAAAAUUGCCGAGUUCCGGCUCGGCUUUCAACGCGACCCCAGGUCAGGCGGGGUUACCCGCUGAAUUUAAGCAUAUCAAUAAGCGGAGGA